ACGUAGGGGGCAAGCGUUGUCCGGAAUCAUUGGGCGUAAAGCGCGUGUAGGCGGCCAUCCAAGUCUGGUGUGGACGCUCGUGGCUCAACCCCGAGUCUGCACUGGAAACUGGAUGGCUUGAGUCCGGAAGAGGAGACUGGAAUUCCUGGUGUAGCGGUGAAAUGCGCAGAUAUCAGGAAGAACACCGGUGGCGAAGGCGGGUCUCUGGGACGGUACUGACGCUGAGACGCGAAAGCGUGGGGAGCAAACAG
rnacentral:rRNA from 1 species